rnacentral:misc_RNA from 1 species
CCGGAAGGCAAGAAGGAUCUCCUUCCAUGAAAUAAAGCCCAAGCAUUCUGUUGUAUCAAAAAAACCAAAACGAGAAAUAAAGCCCACGCUUCGUUACCGGACGGUUUCAUCAUACCGGUGAAUCAUUAGGUCUUUUCGGCUUCCAUAGUUGUAUCAGACUUAUAAUAUAUCAAAAAUUAGGGCACAGAUUCUCUACUCUUCUCCCAUGGCGACACCUCCUUUGCCCAUUUUCACCAUCUUCAAUUCCACCGACCAUCCACCUUCCCUCGCCCAUGUUAAACAGGAACAUCAAUCCACUCCAACACCACCGCAAUACCAAUUGGCGCCACCACAAUCUCAGGUCAAACAGGAACCACAAGAGUUCUCGGUUGUUGCUCUUCAGGUACCUGACCGACAGCAACCCAAACGGGAUGAACCAAAGGGAGCACAUUUUUUUAAAUCAAUUGACGAACUCUGCAAUCUCUCUGCUGUCAUUAACGAAUUUUAUCGAAGAUUUCAGGAAUUGCAAAAACAUCUUGAUUUCAUCCAGAGCGCUAUGGAUGCCGCACUCCCGCCAAGACCAAUAGUCACUGCCAAACAAACGACAACAGAAACAGGCACAACAAGUUCUGCGCCAGCCAAGUCGGAGCUUUUAAUUCUUUGCGAAAUGAUGUGUGGCAAAGACCUCCGUAGAUAUCUUACCUCACAUCUAACCAAUAUCCGGAAGCUUAGAGCUGAAGUUCCUUCCGCCCUUAAAUGCGCGCAGAAUCCUGCCAAGCUAGUGCUGGAUUGCAUCGGGCGGUUUUAUCUGCAGGGAAGCCGGGCCUACACCAAGAAUUCUCCUAUGAUUCCUGGGAGAAAAGCUAGCAUUUUAGUUUUGGAAUUCUUUUUGCAAAUAAUUGACAAUGGCAUUGAGUUUGACUCCGCCGUGAAGCAGGAAGCGGAGCAGGCUGCGCUGGCUUGGAGAAAGAGGCUUAUAGCUGAGGGUGGUCUGGGGAAAGCCAGCGACAUUGAUUCCAGGGGUUUGCUUCUUCUCGUUGGUUGUUAUGGGAUCCCAAAGGCUUUUACCAAUGAGGAUGUUUGGGAUUUGGUUCGGAUGAGUAAUUCAAAGCAGAUCGCGGAUGUCCUUCGAAGAUCCCAAGUCCUUGUUGCCAGGGUCUCAGGUACGUCUCAUGCAUUAUUUUCAAGUUUGUGUUGAUGUCUGUUACACUGUUUUUCCUUGAGUUUAUCGUGCGCUAAUUUCAACUUAGAAAUCCCAAACUAUAGUUGAUUACGUUUCUUCAUGUUGCUAUUGUGUUGUUGAUCCUUGAAAUUUGAUUGUUUAAUGGUGAUAAUAGAAUACGGGAACAAGCUUGUCUAAGAAUGUGAAGUAAAUACAAAGAUACCAUGUCAAGUAGAAAGCAUAUGGCACUGGCACACACAGAAAGAGGCAAGAAGUAGCUCCUAGAGAACAUUGGAUGUAUCCACCUCUUUCUCCUUUUAGAUACCUAAUAGGUUUGUGUUGGUUGGGAAGGAUGUAAUAGUAAUUAAAAUAUCAUGGGUAGAUGCCAGGGAGACCUGAUAACUUUCGAAGUUUGUUGGGGGCAGAUUACGUAAAUGCAUGUUCAACGUCAGCACCUAACAUUGCAAAUGCUUUGUUCAGGCAUGUGGCAUACUCCACUUUCAUUUUUCUUCAGUGAUUAAUAAAUCUCUCUUUUUGUUGAAGCAGACACUAAAUUUAGCAUGGAGCAUCAUUGGUGUCUUUCUAAAUUAUGUUGUCUCCAUCCUCCACAGUUUAUGCUCCCAAGUUAUAAAUGUUUUUCUGACGACUAAACAGUAAGAGAUCUGCUUUAUGGACAGAUAUGGGCCAGACAUUUUAUUGAGGUUGUCGGUUGCUUAAAUGGACUCUUAAAUUUGGCUGAAAAUAAUUUCUCUAAGCAUAUCUUAAGUCAUAAGAUUCCUUAACGGUUGGAAUUCUGUGGAUAUUAUUUAACAAUGAAUUUAUGUCUCCAUGGGCAGUCAAGAAAGAUUUUUUAAUGCCUGCUCUUGAGUUAGUAGAAAGUGUGUCUCUAUGAAAACAAUUACAUGAAACAAUGGAUCAUAUACACUAUUAGCGUUAGGUUGUCUUUUUUAUUUAGUUGCUGUCUGGACUGUAAGAGGAUUUAAUGAGUGUUGUCUGUGGAAAGUUCCAGGAGAAUUUGUUUAUUAGGCAUUAUGUCUGCAAGUUUAGGCAGAGACAUAAGAAUUCUCUUGUACAUAUUUUUUCUUCAUUUUCCUUCUUGUUCUGAAAUAUUUUUGAUAUCCACGUCAUCAUGUUCUAUGAUUCUAUCCUUAAUAUUCCUUACUGUUAAUCUCCAUUUUCUACAAGUUGGCUUCUUAUGUGGUUCAAUGCCCAUAAAAUUGGUUAUAGGUCCUGUUGUUUGCUGGACAGCUUAGGAAUUUAUACAGUUUCAACAAGCAGAAACUGUUUUAUACAUGCUAUUUGGAACACUAAAUCUGCAAAUCAAUGUGGAAUCAAGAACGGUAGUUGUAUUUGGUUCUUUGAGUUGUCUACUAUACAGUAACUGGAUUUUUUCUGAGGGCAACAUGAGCAGCAAUAACCUAUUAGAUGUUUGGUUGGGAAUGCUCCAGAAACAAAAAGAUCUAAAUGGCUCAAGGAGGAAAGGGUAUGUGACAAAUGUAUAGACUAAUGUUUUGUUAUCUACUUAACUGAGGAGAAGUUUCAUUUCCACUAUGCGGGAAUCUGUAUCUUUCCCACUGUUACUAUGCUCUACUAGUCAUGCAUCCAGUGCGCUAUGUGGUUAGCGGCCUUGGCGGUAAUUGUGGGGACUUGAGGAUAUGCUCUUACUUUUUGUUACUUAACUGGCACUCUCUUUGUGGUUUACAGUGUUCAUUGGUUUGUUUUUUGGAAGUAUGUGAUCUUAUUUCUCCAACUAUGAGCAUUGUCCACCGCGAUUCUUGACCUUUGCUCUAUCAUCUUUGAUUUUCCAGAUAUUCUAGAGAGAAUGAUGAACAAUGGAAUGAAAAUUGAAGCUGUUGAUGUGGCUUAUACUUUUGGGAUUGAGGAUAAGUUUCCUCCUCAGAAGCUUCUGACUUCUUUCCUGCGAGAUACUAAAGAAGCAUCAAAGAGGAGAAAGAGGGAAGCAAAUAAUUCACCUAUCUUACUGAAAGAAGCAAAUGAGAAGCAGUUGGCUGCUCUGAAAUCAGUAACAAAGCUACUUGAAGACCGCAAGCUUGAUCCAGUAAAGGUUCUUCCUGGAUGGCAACUUAGGGAAAUGAGAGACAAGCUAGAGAAAGAAAUUGCUGACCUCAGUAAAAGGAUAGAAGAUAAGGUGGCAUUAAAAAGAAAAGCAGAUGGGAAUGAGUUCUCAAAGAAGAGUCAAGAAACAAAACGUCCACGAUUUGCAGGUUCACCCCUGAUAUCCUCUCCAGGCAUUGGGUUGCUCGAACAAAGGGCUGCUGGUCAUGUGGAUGGCAGUGGCUUGUACAAUGCUUCCCUGCGAAUGAACUUGUUGGAUGGUGGAUUUUCUGGUCAUGUCAACAAUCCUUCUGUUGCUGGAUCUGUGUUGUAUGGAUCUGGUGUGGUAUCUUUGCCUGAACAUGUCCGUGGCACAGUGGCAGGAGGUGGGACUGUAAUGCAUGGUGCUGGAGUGGGUCUCUCAGCUGCAUAUAGUAUUCCAUCCACCAGUUCAUUUGCUGGAGUUCACAGGGAGAUGCUUGUUGAUAGGACCGGGCAAAUAAUGGCUAGCAAUGGUGCAGCAUAUGGAUGGCCUGGUGUUGGGGAUGCUGCCUUUAUUGAUGGGUCUCGGGGGCAGAGCUUUAUUCAUCAACCAGCAUUUGGGUUGUUUGGGCCAUCAUCAUCAAUAGAAGGUUUUGUGGGUGUAUCAAAUUCUCCACCUAUUGGUGCUGCUAAUAGGAGCUCAACGUCUGAUCUAUAUCGAUUUGCUGAUGCUGUUAAGUGAGUACAGCAGUGGUACUCAGCAAGGCUAGCCCAAUACAACCUGUUGAUUCUGAUGCUGACUCCCAUUGCCUUGUUUGAUUUGUAAAGUAAAUAUAGUUAAUUUUCUGGAAUGGAGAAAAUAGCAGAAGCAUGAGUUGAUUUUCAUUGUACAAGGUGCUGCUCUGCAUGUUAAACUUAUCUGCCAAUGCAUUGGGUCGUAUGGCAAACACAAUCCACUUAAGAUAUUUUACCUAGUGUGGAGAAAAUGCAUCGGUAAGAUCUACUGUAUUCUUUCAAGUCUUUGUGCAAUGAGAAGUUGAUGCGAGUAGUCUUUCAUUGCUAAUAUUAUGCAAGUAAUGAUGCAAGAUGCAAAAGUUGCAAAACACAAUAGAUUCUGAUUAGUCAGAAAGGUCUUAUGGAGGAAAAAGCUUGCAAGUGGUCUAAUACUGAACUAAUUAGGACUGGGAUUGGCUUAACUCAACUUCUGUUCAAAAAAUGGAGGGAAAAAUGUACUCUUGGAUUUCUUACUUUUUAUUCUGGAGAUGACUGUUAUACAUAUUUAGCAAACUAUUGAAAUCUAUGCUCUCC